CUACGGGGGGCUCCAGUGAGGAAUAUUGUACAAUGGGGGGAACCCUGAUGCAGCAACGCCGCGUGGAGGAUGACGCAUUUCGGUGUGUAAACUCCUUUUAUAUGUCAAGAAAAUGACGGUAGCAUAUGAAUAAGCGCCGGCUAACUCCGUGCCAGCAGCCGCGGUAAUACGGAGGGCGCAAGCGUUACUCGGAAUCACUGGGCGUAAAGGACGCGUAGGCGGGUUGAAAAGUCAGGUGUGAAAGCCUACAGCUUAACUGUAGAACUGCACUUGAAACUCUCAAUCUAGAGUAUGGGCGGGGCAGAUGGAAUUAGUGGUGUAGGGGUAAAAUCCGUAGAUAUCACUAGGAAUACCUAAAGCGAAGGCGAUCUGCUGGAACAUUACUGACGCUAAGGCGUGAAAGCGUGGGGAGCAAACAGGAUUAGAUACCCGCGUAGUC
rnacentral:rRNA from 1 species